ensembl:lncRNA
GGGCAAUUCCCUCCCACUGCUGCCAGAGUGGUCCCCAGCUACCACCGAUGCCUUUGUUUAUUUUUCCUCCAAGAGAGAACUCUCUGAGUAAGUUUGGGAACAUGGGAGCAUCUCAUCAACCGGGGGAUUUCUCACUGAAGUCGCUGGAGUUUGGAUAUGCUCAGUGGAGAUGAAUUUUAGGCUUUUUUCUUUGUUUCCAGUAGUUUAGUGCCCAGAGUAGCCAGGAUUGUCAGCGCAGCUGGGCACUAAAAGCUUACAAGCGAGGGGGAAACUUUGUUGCUUACAAGCGAGGGGGAAACUCAGCAAAGCAGUGUGGACAAGGCAUCUCACCUCCUUUGGAGAUCACAGCCUGUGCCUUGUCUGUGGAGAGACCCCAGAGUGCUAAAACUGAAGGGGACAGGACACAAAGGGCUGUCUGGGUCCUCCAGCCACCGGCAGCAGUGUGACAGAUACAUAGACCAGCCACGAUCCCCGCCUUCCUGAACCCCCAUCAUCAGGGUCAAAGAGUGCUUCCUAAAUCUGCCCUGCGCUGCCACAGUGACUUACCAGAGGGGCCUGCAGCUCUGGAGCGGCCUUGGCCAUGCCAAGAAACCCCUUGGGAUGAAUUCCUUUUUUGUGCACAUUGCUGGUCAUAGCCAUGUAAUAAUGCAGCCUUGCCUCGCCACUUGCAUGAACUUUGCUCUUAAGUAGAGCCCGAGCCAUUUCUAAACAAAGGCCUAAAUGUGAAAUUACAGUCAACUUCCAUGCCUAUGUUAUUACGAGAUUUUAAUUUUUCUAGGGUAUGAACAAUAGCAACUAUUUGGCUGCGCUGUUUUCCCGGGCGCUGGCACAAUGUGCAUCUUCUGUAAACUGACAUCUCAUGAUUUUGUCUGAAAAUGGAAUAUUUAACUGCGCACAUUUUCUUCUCUCAUAUUGGGUUUCAUUCAAAUGGUCUUAAACUUGUAUUUCUUUAUUGCUUAUUAACUUUAAUGAGGUAUGAAUAUAAAAGAGAAUAUUAAAAGGCUUUUCUUUUUCAAAAAGGCAUUUCUUUACAAACAGUGUUGACGUUAUCAAGUAGGUGAGUCUAAGCCCUUAAAUUUAUUUUUGAUCUUGUAGUCAUUAAAAAAAGAAUAUGAGAUUAAAAAACCUUCAAAUUAGGCAACUAGGAUUAAAAGCUUUCUAUUGUUUGGCUUAAUAACACAAUUUAAGUGUGAAUACUUCAGAAGUGUAGGAAGCCUUUAUGCUUCCAUACCUUAUGUAUUUUGUUUAUUUCUAUGAAAGUACUUUAAAGAUUUAAAUCUCCUACAGCAAAUAAACUAUGCUCAUGCUUGGAAAACGAGAUACUGCGAGGGAUUUUGGGCUUGGAAAUAUUCUGAGUAUCUAUUAUGCAUAAAAAUAAAAAUUUCUGAAGACAAAUGCACAACAGUCAUUACAAGUUUUGUUUUUCUAUAUUCCUAAGUUUGGUGUAUUUUCUUUUAACAAAUUAUUUUGGGUGCAACACAAGCACAGGAAUAUCCUUCUUUCAGUGUCUGAUCCGCUGAGCCAAUGUGCCUUAUUAACAAUACAUGAGGAGCGUACCUAAAUAUAUUUAAGGAAAUUCAACUUGACUCUCGUUAUUUACAAUUCAAAUGUUCAAUCUUGCUUUGGAAAUCUGAUUUUCAGUGUACGUUAAAUAAACAUGUUUUAUAUGAAGAGGCAUCUCCUU